rnacentral:rRNA from 1 species
AGCAGCCGCGGUAAUUCCAGCUCCAAAUAGCGUAUAUUAAAGUUGCUGCAGUUAAAAAGCUCGUAGUUGAAUUUCGGGGACUAAUAUGUCGGUCGUGCCUCGGUACGUACUGGCUUAUUGGUUCUCCUUUCUGAAGAACCAUGAUGUCAUUUAUUUGGUGUCGUGGGGAAUCAGGACUGUUACUUUGAAAAAAUUAGAGUGUUUAAAGCAGGCUCACGCUUGAAUACGAUUAGCAUGGAAUAAUGAAAUAGGACGUUUGAUUCUAUUUUGUUGGUUUCUAGGAUCGACGUAAUGAUUAAUAGGGAUAGUUGGGGGCAUUAGUAUUCAAUUGUCAGAGGUGAAAUUCUUGGAUUUAUUGAAGACUAACUACUGCGAAAGCAUUUGCCAAGGAUGUUUUCAUUAAUCAAGAACGAAAGUUAGGGGGAUCGAAGACGAUCAGAUACCGUCGUAGUCUUAACCAUAAAACUAUGCCGACUAGGGAUCGGAUGAUGUUAAUUUUUUAAUGACUCAUUCGGCGCC